rnacentral:rRNA from 1 species
AUUGAACGCUGGCGGCAUGCUUUACACAUGCAAGUCGGACGGCAGCACAGAGAAGCUUGCUUCUUGGGUGGCGAGUGGCGAACGGGUGAGUAACAUAUCGGAACGUACCGAGCAGUGGGGGAUAACUAAUCGAAAGAUUAGCUAAUACCGCAUAUCUUCUGAGGAAGAAAGCAGGGGACCAUUUGGCCUUGCGCUGUUUGAGCGGCCGAUAUCUGAUUAGCUAGUUGGUGGGGUAAAGGCCUACCAAGGCGACGAUCAGUAGCGGGUCUGAGAGGAUGAUCCGCCACACUGGGACUGAGACACGGCCCAGACUCCUACGGGAGGCAGCAGUGGGGAAUUUUGGACAAUGGGCGCAAGCCUGAUCCAGCCACGCCGCGUGUCUGAAGAAGGCCUUCGGGUUGUAAAGGACUUUUGUCAGGGAAGAAAAGGGCGGGGUUAAUACCCCUGUCUGAUGACGGUACCUGAAGAUA